rnacentral:rRNA from 1 species
GACGAACGCUGGCGGCGUGCUUAACACAUGCAAGUCGAACGAGACGAUUGAAAGCUUGCUUUCGAAAGUCGAGUGGCAAACGGGUGAGUAACGCGUAGACAACCUGCCUUUGAGAUGGGGACAACAGUUCGAAAGGACUGCUAAUACCGAAUGUUGUAUAUUUUCCACAUGGAAGAUAUAUUAAAGAUGGCCUCUAUUUAUAAGCUAUCGCUCAAAGAUGGGUCUGCGUCUGAUUAGCUAGUUGGUGGGGUAACGGCCUACCAAGGCGACGAUCAGUAGCCGGUCUGAGAGGAUGAACGGCCACAUUGGGACUGAGACACGGCCCAGACUCCUACGGGAGGCAGCAGUGGGGAAUCUUCCACAAUGGACGAAAGUCUGAUGGAGCAACGCCGCGUGAGUGAAGAAGGGUUUCGGCUCGUAAAGCUCUGUUGUCGGGGACGAAUGUGCAUUACUUGAAUAAAGUAGUGUAAUGACGGUACCUGACGAGGAAGCCACGGCUAACUACGUGCCAGCCGCCGCCGUAA